UGGGGAAUAUUGGACAAUGGGGGGAACCCUGAUCCAGCCAUGCCGCGUGUGUGAAGAAGGCCUUAUGGUUGUAAAGCACUUUAAGCGAGGAGGAGGGUACUGGUAUUAAUACUACCAGGUACUGGACGUUACUCGCAGAAUAAGCACCGGCUAACUCUGUGCCAGCAGCCGCGGUAAUACAGAGGGUGCGAGCGUUAAUCGGAUUUACUGGGCGUAAAGCGUGCGUAGGCGGCUAAUUGAGUCGGAUGUGAAAUCCCCGAGCUUAACUUGGGAAUUGCAUUCGAUACUGGUUAGCUAGAGUGUGGAAGAGGAUGGUAGAAUUCCAGGUGUGGCGGUGAAAUGCGUAUAGAUCUGGAGGAAUACCGAUGGCGAAGGCAGCCAUCUGGCCUAACACUGACGCUGAGGUACGAAAGCAUGGGGAGCAAACAGG
rnacentral:rRNA from 1 species